GAUGAACGCUGGCGGCGUGCCUAAUACAUGCAAGUCGAGCGAACGGACGAGAAGCUUGCUUCUCUGAUGUUAGCGGCGGACGGGUGAGUAACACGUGGAUAACCUACCUAUAAGACUGGGAUAACUUCGGGAAACCGGAGCUAAUACCGGAUGAUAUUUUGAACCGCAUGGUUCAAAAGUGAAAGACGGUCUUGCUGUCACUUAUAGAUGGAUCCGCGCUGCAUUAGCUAGUUGGUAAGGUAACGGCUUACCAAGGCAACGAUGCAUAGCCGACCUGAGAGGGUGAUCGGCCACACUGGAAGUGAGACACGGUCCAGACUCCUACGGGAGGCAGCAGUAGGGAAUCUUCCGCAAUGGGCGAAAGCCUGACGGAGCAACGCCGCGUGAGUGAUGAAGGUCUUCGGAUCGUAAAACUCUGUUAUUAGGGGAGAACAAAUGUGUAAGUAACUGUGAACAUCUUGACGGUACCUAAUCAGAAAGCCACGGCUAACUACGUG
rnacentral:rRNA from 1 species